rnacentral:rRNA from 1 species
CGGUAGCACAGAGAGCUUGCUCUUGGGUGACGAGUGGCGGACGGGUGAGUAAUGUCUGGGAAACUGCCCGAUGGAGGGGGAUAACUACUGGAAACGGUAGCUAAUACCGCAUAACGUCGCAAGACCAAAGAGGGGGACCUUCGGGCCUCUUGCCAUCGGAUGUGCCCAGAUGGGAUUAGCUAGUAGGUGGGGUAACGGCUCACCUAGGCGACGAUCCCUAGCUGGUCUGAGAGGAUGACCAGCCACACUGGAACUGAGACACGGUCCAGACUCCUACGGGAGGCAGCAGUGGGGAAUAUUGCACAAUGGGCGCAAGCCUGAUGCAGCCAUGCCGCGUGUAUGAAGAAGGCCUUCGGGUUGUAAAGUACUUUCAGCGAGGAGGAAGGUGUUGAGGUUAAUAACCUCAGCAAUUGACGUUACUCGCAGAAGAAGCACCGGCUAACUCCGUGCCAGCAGCCGCGGUAAUACGGAGGGUGCAAGCGUUAAUCGGAAUUACUGGGCGUAAAGCGCACGCAGGCGGUCUGUCAAGUCGGAUGUGAAAUCCCCGGGCUCAACCUGGGAACUGCAUCCGAAACUGGCAGGCUAGAGUCUUGUAGAGGGGGGUAGAAUUCCAGGUGUAGCGGUGAAACGCGUAGAGAUCUGGAGGAAUACCGGUGGCGAAGGCGGCCCCCUGGACAAAGACUGACGCUC